rnacentral:rRNA from 1 species
GGGGCGCAGCAGGCGCGAAACCUUUACACUGCACGSCAGUGCGAUAAGGGGAUCCCGAGUGCACAGGCAUAGAGCCUGUGCUUUUCUGAACCGUAGGGAGGUUCAGGAACAAGAGCUGGGCAAGACCGGUGCCAGCCGCCGCGGUAAUACCGGCAGCUCGAGUGAUGGCCGAUCUUAUUGGGCCUAAAGCGUCCGUAGCUGGCCUUGCAAGUCCGUCGGGAAAUCCACCCGCUCAACGGGUGGGCGUCCGGCGGAAACUGUGAGGCUUGGGACCGGGAGGCUUGAAGGGUACGUCCGGGGUAGGAGUGAAAUCCCGUAAUCCUGGACGGACCGCCGAUGGGGAAACCACUUCAAGAGAACGGAUCCGACAGUGAGGGACGAAAGCUAGGGUCUCGAACCGGAUUAGAUACCCCGGUAGUCC